AUGAACGCUGGCGGCGUGCCUAAUACAUGCCAGUCGAGCGAACGGACGAGAAGCUUGCUUCUCUGAUGUUAGCGGCGGACGGGUGAGUAACACGUGGAUAACCUACCUAUAAGACUGGGAUAACUUCGGGAAACCGGAGCUAAUACCGGAUAAUAUUUUGAACCGCAUGGUUCAAAAGUGAAAGACGGUCUUGCUGUCACUUAUAGAUGGAUCCGCGCUGCAUUAGCUAGUUGGUAAGGUAACGGCUUACCAAGGCAACGAUGCAUAGCCGACCUGAGAGGGUGAUCGGCCACACUGGAACUGAGACACGGUCCAGACUCCUACGGGAGGCAGCAGUAGGGAAUCUUCCGCAAUGGGCGAAAGCCUGACGGAGCAACGCCGCGUGAGUGAUGAAGGUCUUCGGAUCGUAAAACUCUGUUAUUAGGGAAGAACAGAUGUGUAAGUAACUGUGCACAUCUUGACGGUACCUAAUCAGAAAGCCACGGCUAACUACGUG
rnacentral:rRNA from 1 species